ACGGAGGGAGCUAGCGUUGUUCGGAAAUACUGGGCGUAAAGCGCACGUAGGCGGCGCAGCAAGUCAGGGGUGAAAUCCCGGGGCUCAACCCCGGAACUGCCCUUGAAACUGCAGUGCUAGAAUCUUGGAGAGGCGAGUGGAAUUCCGAGUGUAGAGGUGAAAUUCGUAGAUAUUCGGAAGAACACCAGUGGCGAAGGCGACUCGCUGGACAAGUAUUGACGCUGAGGUGCGAAAGCGUGGGGAGCAAACAGGA
rnacentral:rRNA from 1 species